GCGAGGCGGCCCCGGGCCCUAUAGGGAAGUGGGGUGGGGGAAGGUAUCCGGCCAGGUGAGCACCCGGACACGCCCACACUAUCUGGAAGGAGACCGCGGAAUGAAGAGUACCUGUUGCCUCUGGAAUAUUUUGGAGACAAAAGUAUCAGAACUUGGAAUGGAUGGAUGUAGGGGACUGAGGACGUCGAAGAUGAUUUCCAAGCUUCUGGCUUAUGCAGCUGGGUGGCCGUGGGGCUGUUUACUGAUAAAGGAAAACGAGAAGAGCAAAGGUUUACAUCUGUAUUAAGCUUUAGAUCGAGGCCUUUGAGUCGUUCGGGAUGAAAUGUGGAGGCCACGAUGCCGGGUGCGGUGGCUCAAGCUUGUAAUCCCAUCACUUUGGGAGGCUGAGACAGGCAGACGCUGAAGCCCAGGAGUUCAAGACCAGCCUGGCCCACAUGGCCAAACCCCAUCUCUACAAAAAAUACAGAAAUUUAGCAGGACAUGGUGGCUCAUAUAUGCCUCCAGCUACUCAGGAGGCUGAGGCGGGAAGAUCACUUGAGCCUGGGAGGCAGAGGUUGCAGUGAGCUGUGAUUGUGUCAAAAACAAAAAAGAACUGGAUACCAUGGGAUGUGGGAUCUGGGAUUCUAAGACAGGCUUCACCCACAAGGUAGAGCCCAGGUCCCUUUGCUAUGAGACCGAGAACCCUUUCAGGACUUAAGUCAAGGGCCUAGCUUCAUUUCAGUUGGGAGUUAGAGCAGAAGAAAACGAAAGUACAUGAAUGUUCAUAGCAGUAUUAUUUCACAGUAGCCAAAAGGGAGAAGCAACCCAUGUAUUGAUGGAUGGAUGCAUGAAUAAAGAUGUUAUAUGUACAUACAACGGAAUAUUAUUCAGGCUUAAAAAAGAAUGAAAUUCUCUUACAUGCAGCAGCAUGAAUGAACCCUGAAGACAUUAUGCUAAGUGAAAUAAGCUGGUUGCAAAAGGACAAAUACUGUGUUCUGCUUAUUUGAGAUACCUAGUUAGUCAGAUUUAUGGAGACAAAGUAGAAUGGUGUUUGUCAUGGGCUGGGGGAGGGCAGAAUGGAGAGUUACUGUUUAAUGACUGUACAACAAUCUGAAUUAUUUAAUGCCACUGAACUGUAAGCUUAAAAUUGUAAAUUUUGUUAGGUAUAUUUUACCACAAUAAAAAAAUAAAAUAUAAGACCUUGCAAAUAAUUUAUAUAAAGAAAAAUAAAAAUUUGCCAGCUCUUUCAGCAUCUUAGAAGAGCUUGUAUCUGGUUUCUAGAAGACUUGUUUGUUUUGAGACAGGGUUUUACUCUGUUUGCCCAGGCUAGAGCACAGUGGUGUGACCUCAGCUUACUGCAGCCUUUGCUGCCUGAGCUCAUGCAAUCCUUGCACCUCAGCUUCCCUAGUAGCCGGAGUAUAGGCAUGUGCCACUAGGCCUGGCUAAUUUUUUCUUGUAUUUUUUUGUAGAGAUGGGGUUUUGCCAUGAUGCCCAGGCUAGUGCUGAACACCUGCCUUGACCUUCCAGAGUGCUGGGAUUACAGACAUGAGAUGGUGUCCAGCCUGGAAGACCAUCUUGAGGUCACCUGGUCAGAGGUAGAGAAAUUUUGGGCAAAGCCAGGUUUGGUGGCUCAUGCCUGUAAUCCCAGCACUUCUGGAGGCUUAGGUGAGUGGAUCACUUGAGGUCAGGAGUUCAAGACCAACCUAAUAUAGUGAAACCCCAUCUCUACUAAAAAUACAAAAAUUAGCUCGGCUUGGUGGCAUGUAGUCCCAGCUACUCGGAAGGCUGAGGCAGGAGAAUCACUUGAACCUGGCAGGUGGAGGUUGCAGUGAGCCAACAUUGCACCAUUACACUCCAGCAGCCUGGGUGACCAAACAAGACUCUGUCUCAAAACAAACAAAUUACAGGAAGGCCCACACCCUGCAAAACUGCUUCAACACAAUUUAUAGUAAAUGAAAUACAAAAGCAUAAAGCAGCCUACCUUGGGGCUUUCUGAUGGUGAAGCAGUGGUCAGCCAUAAGGCAGCUGCAAGACCUAGGCACAACAGCUGAGUCCAGAGCAGGCUGGGAAUCGGGAGACUACAUCAUAGCAUUACUGAGCAAAGAAGGAGGCGGCCGCUUUGCUACAGGACACAGACAGCCCAGGACCCAAACAUGAGGCCAGCAAGAGGUCAGGAUUAAGCAGAUGCCGUUCAGUAUGGGCUGGAACAGGAAGUGAGAGAGGCAGGGGAGAAGUAGAAAGCCCUAAAUUAAGACUUACAAGGCAGAGGAGACCUAUAGAGAUGGGCAUUCCACGUGAGUUCCAUGGUUUAUUAGUUUGCUAGAGUAGCCGUAAGAAAGUACCACAUACUGAGUGGAGUUAAGCGGAAAUUUUUCUUACUGUUCUGGAGAGGUCUGAGUGAGGAACUGGCAGAAUGGCUUCUGAGGUCUCUCUCCUUGGCUUGUUGAUAGCCACCUUUUCCCUGGGCCUGAAGACCCGGUCUUUAAAUACAGUCACAUUCUGAGGUACUGGAGGUCAGGACUUCAAAUAUGAAAUGGGGAGGAACAUUUAGCCCGUAACACAGGGUCACAGUGACAUGAAGGGCGAUUGGUGUGAAAGGCAUCAGAGACCAAGAGCCCCUUCACAGGCCUCAAAUGCUGAGGGCAGGCAUGGGCCAGUGGAGGUGAGACAGCAGAAAGGAUGACUCCGAGGCAGGGGGUGGCCUCCUAACACUAUUUCCUGGCAGAGUUGGGAGUUAGAAGAAGCCUAAGACUAUAUGGUCCUGGGGAAAAGUCACCUCAUCACAAGGGGGCAGCACACCCUUUUCUCAAGACAGCCUCCCCAUCACACCCAGCAGAGUCAGAUGGGCCCUUAAAGACACACACACCCUUUCCCAUUUUUACCAAUGUAGAAACUCAGGCCUGGAUUGGGGAGGGGACGGCCCAAAGUCUCUCCACAAGUGAAUAUAAAUAAGAGUCUGGGCAGCACUUUGGGAGGCCAAGGCAGGAGGAUCACCUGAGGUCAGGAGUUCAAGACAAGCUUUGCCAACAUGGCAAAACUCGUGUCUAUUAAAAACUGUAAAAAUUAGCCAGGCAUGGUGGUGGUGUCUGUAAUCCCAGCUAGUUGGGAGGCUAAGACAGGAGAAUCGCUUGAACCCAGGAGGUAGAAGUUGCUGUGAGCCGAGAUCACACCACUGCACUCCAGCCUGGGCAACAGAGCGAGACUCCAUCUCAAAAACAAAAAAAGAGUCUGGGCUGGACAUGAGUCUCAUCCCUCUCAGUUCAAAUAUUUAUUCAACAUCCACAGUGUCCUAGACAUUGUUGAAUGAAGCAGGUAAAGAUCUCUGCCUGCAUGUAGUCCCAUUCUAGGGAGGGACACACACAUGAACACAAUAAAGAAUAGACAGUGUGUUAGAUGGCAACACCUGCUAUGGUAGGAAGAAAAGAAAACAGGGAGUGGAGGGUGGGAGUACAGGUAGGGGACAAUGCAAUUUUAUAUUGGGUGGUCAGGGGAGGCUUCACUGAGAAAAUACUAUUUGAGCGGAGAUCUGUAGGAAAUGAAGAAGCAAGCCAGGGACAUAACUAGGGGAAGAGUGUUUCAGAAACCGGGAACAGCAAAUGCAAAGGUCGUGACCCACGACUGUGCCUAAAAGGCCUGAAGAACAGCAGGGAGGCCAGAGUGUCUGAGGUCGAGUGAGUGUGGAGAAUAUAGGAGAUGGAGUCACAGAGGCAGGAGGAGGGUGAGGUGAGGGGUUGCGGAUGGUGUCGAGUCUCAAAAACCAUGAUGAGGACUUGGGUUUUCUUUGGAUGAGCUGGGGAACCAUGGGGAGGGUUUGGAACAGACCCAGGGAUAUGAUCUGGUCGGUUUGUUUAAGGGUUACAUAGACUGAGUAGGGGACUAGAGGAAGGGCCAUACCAAGGGUUCCUAAGACAGUGCUCUGGCUCUAUAGAGGGGACAGUGGAGACAGGUGAACUGCGUCACUCAGAUCCAGCCCCAUAGUCAUAUCUUGGUAUGGACACACGCAGGAGACAUGAAGGAGACUUUAGAAAGGAACAUACCCUUGUGAUUUGCUGUGAUCAGGCCAGUCAAGGAAGCCAGAUCACCGCCAUGGAAUGGGGUGGAGAUAGUAUGAGCCCAGAGGGGACAGAGAGCCUAAUGGGGCUAGUGAGGAGGGAAGGCUUCUUGGAAGAAGAGACUUGAUCCAUAGGCUCAGCACAAUUCUUGCCAAACUCCCAAGUUCUUUUUUGUGACAAAGUUGGCAUACUGUUUCUCAGAUUCAUAUGGAAAAGCAAAGGCUGUAGAAGAGUCUGGACAAUCUCUCCCUCUCUCCUUUUUUUUUUAAAAGACAAGGACUUCAAAAGUGGGCAAAGGAUAUGAACAGAUACUUUACAAAAGAAGACAUAUAUGAGGCCAAAAAUCAUAUGAAAAAAUGCUCAUCGUCACUGGACAUCAGAGAGAUGCAAAUCAAAACCACAUUGAGAUACCAUCUCACGCCAGUUAGAAUGGCGAUCAUUAAAAAAUCUGGAGACAACAGAUGCUGGAGAGGAUGUGGAGAAAAAGGAACACUUUUACACUGUUAGUGGGAGUGUAAAUUAGUUCAACCAUUGUGGAAGACAGUGUGGCGAUUCCUCAAGGCCUUAGAAAUAGAAAUUCCAUUUGACCCAGCAAUCCCAUUACUGGGUAUAUAUCCAAAAGAGUAUAAAUCGUUCUACUAUAAGGACACAUGUACACGAAUGUUCAUUGCAGCACUGUUUACAAUAGCAAAGACCUGGAAUCAACCCAAAUGCCCAUUGAUAAUAGACUGGAUUGGAAAAAUGUGGCACAUAUACACCAUGGAAUAUUAUGCAGCAAUCAGAAAUGAUGAGUUUGUGUCGUUUGUAGGGACAUGGAUGAAUCUGGAUAACAUCAUCCUCAGCAAACUGACACAAGAACAGAAAAUGAAACACCGCAUAUUCUCACUCAUAGGCGGGUGAUGAAAAA